UUAGUGGGUACUAGAAUCCACACAGACUACACACGAGCCCAACUUUGGUUGGUCAACCCAUGUGCAUCUAUGGGUAGGUUUAUAACCAGUUGUUUCUCUAAACAACUUCUAGUAAUUGAUUUUGCCCCAGAACCUAAUUAGUAGGCUUUGGCCUCCACUGAAAAGAUCUGGUUAGGUCCAACCAUUAACAUGAUUUGAUUUGGUGAAUCGGACCAAUAAAUGAUCAGGCCCGACUUUGGCCGGCC
rnacentral:lncRNA from 1 species